rnacentral:rRNA from 1 species
CCUACGGGUGACAGCAGUAGGGAAUCUUGCUCAAUGGGGGAAACCCUGAAGCAGCAACGCCGCGUGGAGGAUGAAGGUUUUAGGAUUGUAAACUCCUUUUGUGAGAGAAGAUAAUGACGGUAUCUCACGAAUAAGCACCGGCUAACUUCGUGCCAGCAGCCGAGGUAAUACGGCGGGUGCAAGCGUUACUCGGAAGCACUGGGCGUAAGGUGUGCGCAGGCGGGCUUGUAAGUCAGAUGUGAAAGCCUGUAGCUUAACUACAGAACUGCAUGUGAAACUAUGAGGCUAGAGUGUGGUAGAGGUAGGUGGAAUGCUUGGUGUAGGGGUAAAUUCCGUAGAUAUCAAGAGGAAUACUCAUUGCGAAGGCGACCUACUGGAACAUUACUGACGCUCAUGCACGAAAGCGUGGGGAGCAAACAGGAUUAGAUACCCUUGUAGUC